CUGGAGGUAUCAGAAGUGCGAAUGCUGACAUAAGUAACGAUAAAGCGGGUGAAAAGCCCGCUCGCCGGAAGACCAAGGGUUCCUGUCCAACGUUAAUCGGGGCAGGGUGAGUCGACCCCUAAGGCGAGGCCGAAAGGCGUAGUCGAUGGGAAACGGGUUAAUAUUCCCGUACUUGGUGUUACUGCGAAGGGGGGACGGAGAAGGCUAUGUUGGCCGGGCGACGGUUGUCCCGGUUUAAGCGUGUAGGCUGGUUUUCCAGGCAAAUCCGGAAAAUCAAGGCUGAGGCGUGACGACGAGGCACUACGGUGCUGAAGCAACAAAUGCCCUGCUUCCAGGAAAAGCCUCUAAGCAUCAGGUAACAUCAAAUCGUACCCCAAACCGACACAGGUGGUCAGGUAGAGAAUACCAAGGCGCUUGAGAGAACUCGGGUGAAGGAACUAGGCAAAAUGGUGCCGUAACUUCGGGAGAAGGCACGCUGACACGUAGGUGAAGUGAUUUACUCAUGGAGCUGAAGUCAGUCGAAGAUACCAGCUGGCUGCAACUGUUUAUUAAAAACACAGCACUGUGCAAACACGAAAGUGGACGUAUACGGUGUGACGCCUGCCCGGUGCCGGAAGGUUAAUUGAUGGGGUCAGCGCAAGCGAAGCUCCUGAUCGAAGCCCCGGUAAACGGCGGCCGUAACUAUAACGGUCCUAAGGUAGCGAAAUUCCUUGUCGGGUAAGUUCCGACCUGCACGAAUGGCGUAAUGAUGGCCAGGCUGUCUCCACCCGAGACUCAGUGAAAUUGAACUCGCUGUGAAGAUGCAGUGUACCCGCGGCAAGACGGAAAGACCCCGUGAACCUUUACUAUAGCUUGACACUGAACAUUGAGCCUUGAUGUGUAGGAUAGGUGGGAGGCUUUGAAGUGUGGACGCCAGUCUGCAUGGAGCCGGCCUUGAAAUACCACCCUUUAAUGUUUGAUGUUCUAACGUGGACCCGUGAUCCGGGUUGCGGACAGUGUCUGGUGGGUAGUUUGACUGGGGCGGUCUCCUCCUAAAGAGUAACGGAGGAGCACGAAGGUUGGCUAAUCCUGGUCGGACAUCAGGAGGUUAGUGCAAUGGCAUAAGCCAGCUUGACUGCGAGCGUGACGGCGCGAGCAGGUGCGAAAGCAGGUCAUAGUGAUCCGGUGGUUCUGAAUGGAAGGGCCAUCGCUCAACGGAUAAAAGGUACUCCGGGGAUAACAGGCUGAUACCGCCCAAGAGUUCAUAUCGACGGCGGUGUUUGGCACCUCGAUGUCGGCUCAUCACAUCCUGGGGCUGAAGUAGGUCCCAAGGGUAUGGCUGUUCGCCAUUUAAAGUGGUACGCGAGCUGGGUUUAGAACGUCGUGAGACAGUUCGGUCCCUAUCUGCCGUGGGCGCUGGAGAACUGAGGGGGGCUGCUCCUAGUACGAGAGGACCGGAGUGGACGCAUCACUGGUGUUCGGGUUGUCAUGCCAAUGGCACUGCCCGGUAGCUAAAUGCGGAAGAGAUAAGUGCUGAAAGCAUCUAAGCACGAAACUUGCCCCGA
rnacentral:rRNA from 2 species